UCCCUACCCCUUUGUAGGUAUUAAAAGAACAGGGUAGCAAGGGAAAAUCAGAAGUUGUCUCUGAUAUAUCUGUAGCUGAAGAAGGAACUAGGGAGGUGCAGCAAGCAGCAUUAUUUCUUCCUCCAGGUGAACUAAUGAAGGCUUAGAAGAAACAGCUGCAUCAUGGCCAGGGUGGCCUAACCUUGUCCUUUCACUUUCAUUAUAUGCUUAUCUGGCCUUCAAGGAGCUGUUGUUGCUGUAUCAAUGGCUGACAGUCAUCACUGCAACCAAGGAAAAUGUCAGCUGGGGGCUCAGCUCUGUGCAGCUUCACUCUGGGACCCAGGCUGCCUGGAGAAUCCCCAUCUGGAGCAUGGCGGUCUCUGUGGGAGAGGGAGAAGAUAGAGUGGUGAACUGCGUGCUGGCUUAUGCCCGAAAGUGACACACGACCCUUCUCCUCACGUGGCACUGGACAAAGUAAGUCAGGUGGCUGCACCCAACUUCAAAAGGUAACAUACCUGUUUUGGCUAUAACAACCUGUGCUGGACCACCUUCCUACACAGAUACUCCUCUCACCCCACCUGGGCUCUGAAAUAUCCUCUUACUGCCUCGACGCCAACAUCUCGCACUAGGCUAUGCCUUUGCAAGAACACUCCCCACCCCCACGUGGGCUCUGAAACCUCCUGCCAGGCUGCCCCUCCUACCCUCAAUCCUCAGCCCACCUGGGCCACCCUGCACUGAGCCAUCCUCUCAGCCUGCUUUGGCUCUGACACUGAGCUAAGCCGACCCUCUGCAGGGGUGGCUCUCUUGAGCUGCUUGGGCCCAACACUGGCACCAGGUAUCCCACUCGUGGGACGCCCUCCUCACCCCACUUUUGCGGUGUUCUAAUUCUUUAAAGAUUUCUAUUAUCUAUGUAUAUAGUAUCAGUUUUUCCUCAAACUAGAGUUCUGUGUAUGUAUUAUUGAUGAUCCAUCAGUAAUAAUGUGUUUUCAUUUCAAUGAUGAUCUAAAAAAAACUUACAUUAUAAAAUAUAAGCAUAUCUGGGAUGUUCGUUUUAUAACCACAUACUUUUAGUGUUGGUGCUUUGUGUUUAAAAUUGGGUUGGUACCGCGUGAUUGUUAAUGUGUCAAUAUUUAACUUUUAAAUUGGUGGUAGUUUUAGAUUGGCAUUCCUGGCAUCAAAAUACAAAAACCAUCUUGAUUUCUGUUCAGUAAAAAUUAUAUUGUGUUUUCUUACCAACUAUAAAUCUAAAACUGCUCAGUGAUGAGAUUUAUGUCUUUAUUCAAUAAAUUAAUUUUGAUUUUCCAUCAUAAAAAUAACCAUGCUACUUUAAUUGUCACAGGCUGAUGAAAAAAGAACUGUGCUGGCUGACUUGAUACACAAAUGAUGCACUCAUGCAAAGUGAAGGCCAAAUGAAUCAUGGCACCAGUAUAAAUGAAGCUUUACAAUAGUUCAAAUAGAGGAAAGUAGAGAGAAAACUGAGUCAUUACAGGUCUCUUGGUAUCAUAGGUUGAACUCAAAAGAAGCUAGGCAAAGCAGUCACAUUUUUCAGAUUAUUGACAGAUGUGUUUGUGUGUGUGUGUUUAUAUG